AUGGUAUUUAGUUUAAAGAAAAAUAAAUGAUUUCGACUCAUUAGAUUAUGGUUAAACUCAUAAUUACCAA
rnacentral:tRNA from 1 species